UAUGGCCACAUCAUGUUGAAACACUGAUUCCCAUACGAUCAUUGAAGUUAAGCAACGUCGAGCCUGGUCAGUACCUAGAUGGAUGAUUGCUUGAGAAUACCAGGUGUUGUAAG